rnacentral:rRNA from 1 species
GAUGAACGCUAGCUACAGGCUUAACACAUGCAAGUCGAGGGGUAACGAGAGGAAAGCUUGCUUUCCUUGUCGACGACCGGCGCACGGGUGGGUAACGCGUAUCCAACCUGCCCCCAACUCGGGAAUAACCUUGCGAAAGUAAGACUACUACCAUAUAAUUUCCUCAGCUGUCAUCUGACGGUGACUAAAGAUUUACUGGUUCGGACGGGGGAUUCGUCUGAUUAGCUUGUUGGAGGGGUAACGGCCCACCAAGGCAACGAUCAGUAGGGGUUCUGAGAGGAAGGUCCCCCACAUUGGAACUGAGACACGGUCCAAACUCCCACGGGAGGCAGCAGUGAGGAAUAUUGGUCAAUGGGCGGAAGCCUGAACCAGCCAAGUAGCGUGCAGGAUGACGGCCCUAUGGGUUGUAAACUGCUUUUAUACAGGAAUAAAGUUAGCCACGUGUGGUUAUUUGUAGGUACUGUAUGAAUAAGGACCGGCUAAUUCCGUGCCAGCAGCCGCGGUAA